rnacentral:lncRNA from 1 species
AAAAUAAUGAAACGUAUGUUCAUCUUCAAAUGACUAAUAAUGUGUCAUCUUUAACGGCCUAAACCAAAAUGUAUAAUCUUUAACGACUAAAACCCAAAGCCAAAUACGAAUAGGAAUUCACAGUUCAGAUAAGAUAAUGGAUCGUAAAGGGAAAUAGAAUUGCUUCGCUCAAUUUGUUUGUCACAUUAUAUCCAUAAGUUUACAUACAUACCAAACCUAUGAUAGAGCAUACAAAAAGCAAAUGUAAACAAGCUUAGUCAAAAGAGAAUUGAUAGUCGAAUUUCCCAAUAAAACUUAGAAUAUCACAUACAACGAACUCUGUCGUCCUCUCAAGCUUUUCGUCGUCAUCUUAACGUUCUGCUAGGGGCCCCUGCGGAUAAGCGACCCUUGUCGCUGGCCACCAACAAUCAAAUCUUUAAAUCGAGAUAAGGGGCCCAGCAACCUAACCAUCCUCUGUAGAGACAAUAUCAUGUCAACAAAUGCAAAUAACUAAACUCUUCAAAAAAAUAAAACAUAAAAAAUAAUAAUAAUAAUAAAAGCGACCAUUAAUGCAUUCUAACAAUAUUAGAAGUCGAGAUACCAUAUAGAACAAAAUUCUGUUGGGUUAUUUAACUUUUACACAGUACAAUUUGCUAGUAUGAACACUCACGUCGGGGUGAAAACUGUAAAGCAUGUGAACAGUUUCUAAUUCAUGCAAAUUAAAACAUAUUGCAAGCAAAUAUGCACAAGUUGGUGGAC